rnacentral:lncRNA from 1 species
UGGCUGAUUAUUUGUCAUGGCAUUUAUUCAACAAUAUUCAACAAUAUAAACCAACAAACAACCAACAUCAACAAACUGGCCAACAAGUUAAAACUUGAUGACAAUUGGUCACUGAAGGGAAAACCAACAGUAAAUGCAUAACAAUUUCUAGCUGCUGGGCAGAUCCAUAACAGCUUAAUGAACGAUAUUUGAAUAAAUCACUGCCAGUUGAAUCAUGUUGAUGAUGACAUCCAACGCACUUUCCAUAUUGAACGGAAUGCCAUGACGAUAGACACUCUUUUUUAUUAUUCCUGCAAAUUCCUUGAAUAUUCAGGUUUCAUUGGAUCUGCCGAUGAAUAUUGAAACGUCUGACACUUUUGAUGAUACAUGACAAUCUAAUGGGAACAUUCAAUACAUUUGGAUCUGUUCACCAUGUAAUCUGAAAAAUAAACUAAAAACAGCAGCAAUUUUGUUUGUUAAAGGGAGGGAGGGUGGGUUGUGCAAUCUUGAAAAAUACUCGUGGAAUGAAAAUUUAGCGGGAGCACGUGCUUAUAUAUGACCAAAGUCCACGAGGCGCUUCAAAGCAUAUUCUUUCGUAUGUUUAAAUAUAUGGUUGUAAUUAUUUAAUGGCAAAACGUAAAUAAUGGACUGACGUACAUUUGAAACACAAUAAACAACUAAAUGUAUUUUAAUGCAAUAAAUCAAUUUAAUUAUUAGAUCAUUAAAUUUUAUUAUUGCAUAUUCAAUGUGCGCAAUGAAUAUACAACUACAGAUGUGUUAUGUUCCAUUCUUUCGCAAGAAAAAUAUAAACAACAAACAAACAAACAAUUGAAAUUUGAAAUUUGGCUGAUUAUUUGUCAUGGCAUUUAUUCAACAAUAUUCAACAAUAUAAACCAACAAACAACCAACAUCAACAAACUGGCCAACAAGUUAAAACUUGAUGACAAUUGGUCACUGAAGGAAAACCAACAGUAAAUGCAUAACAAUUUCUAGCUGCUGGGCAUAUCCAUAACAGCUUAAUGAACGAUAUUUGAAUAAAUCACUGCCAAAAUUGGCAUUUUAGUGAACUCUCAAUCAAAUGCUAAUCCGCCAUGACAAUUAAAGCAGCAUAAAUUAAAAGAAAAUAUAAUCAACUAGUUGUUAUUCUUUUCAACAUACAACAAAUAAACAAACAACAUCAUUCAUGCAUCGG